rnacentral:lncRNA from 1 species
CACACUUUGAAGUAUCCAAUGUUUGGUUUUCUUCCUUUCCACAAUUCAUAAGGAGAAACUUUUGUAUAUUUAGAAUGAAUCAUAUUAAGUAUCCUACAUGCACUUAAUAAAACUUCACCCCAUAAAUUAAAUGGUAAUUUAGCAUAUAUAAGCAUGGCAUUAAUCAUUUAUACUAAAGUUCUAUUCUUUCUUUCAGUCAAACUAUUUUGUUCGGAUGUUUUAGGUGCAGAACAUUGGUGAAUUAUACCAUGUUGUUCAUAAUAUAAAUUAAAUUCACUAGAUAAGUAUUCGUCACCUUUAUCACUUCUUAGGGUCUUUAUUUUCUUUCCUAGAUGAUUUUCAACUUCAUUUUUAUACACCUUAAAUAUGUCAAAAGUUUCAUAUUUAUGUUUCAUCAAGUAUACAUAUGUAUAUCUAAAAAAAUCAUCAAUAAAAGUAAUGAAGUAUCUAUUUCCACCUCUAGUUAACAUGCCAUUUAAUUCACAUAUAUCUGUUUGAAUUAAUUUCAAGAUAUUAGAGGUCCUUUUCACACUUUGAUAUGGCUUUUUAGUCAUUUUUUAUUCUAUCCAUGUUUUGCAUUUAUGUUCAUUAUUGCCAUCAUAUGAAAUCAAAUCACAUUUAUUCAUACGUUUCGUAGUACGUUUACCAAUAUGUCCUAAUCUUGAAUGCCAUAAUGAAAAUAGAUCAACAAUAUAAGUGAAAUUAGUUUUAUUCAUUUUCUUGUCAACGGUACAAAGUUUGACCAUUCCUUCACUUGAAUAGCAUUUUACAACAAAUUUUCCAUUAAGGGAGAGUAUAAGCUUAUCGAAUUCAUACACACAUUCGAUACCCGAUUUUCCUAAGAGAUUAUCACUUACUAAGUUCUUAUUCAUAUCUGGAACAUAUAGUACAAAAGGGUAACGAUUUUUCCUAAAGCGAAGAUGAUAUCAACAUUUUCCUUUCCAAUAACCUUGGAUCGAACUUCGUUGCCCAUUUGAAUCUUUUAGUCUCCAUCCACCUCAUGAUAUGUUUUGAAUACAAUUUUGUCAUAUGAUACAUGUACAAUAGCACAACUAUCAUACCACCAUCCAGGAACAUUUCCCUUGAUUGCAUUUAUUUCGCUUACGGUGGCCACGAUUUUAUCUUCUUGGAUGGAGUUCACUUUGCCCUCGAAGCUGUUUUGUUUUCAGUGUCUACAAUUUUUUGCAUAAUGUCCAGAUUUUCCACACACAAAACACCCUCCUUUGAUUUUUUUCUUGGACUUGUUAAAGUUCCUCGAAGGCUUUCUCUUAUUGGAUUUUGUCGGCGGUUCAAAAUUUUCAAUAGCAUUAGCUUUGGAAGUUCCCUCAAAGGAGUUUUCACUUUUGUCACGCAAUCUGGAUUCUUCCUUGAUCCGAAAAUGCUUUUGCAAUUGUUCCAAGGAAUAACUUUCGGAACUAUGCAUGAUCUUCUUCCGGUAUCCUUUCAAAGCCCCUGGGAGUUUAGCAAUUAUGGCUCCCACUUGAAAGGUCUCUGGGAUUUCAAUCUUUAUCGCUUUUAGUUUGUUGACAAUGACUUGCAAUUUGUGUACUUGGGGAAGAAGAGAGAUAUUUUAAAGUCGAAGUAUUUAGAAAUUAGAAACUUCUUGGUAUCUUCCUCUUUCGCUUUGUACUUAUUUUUCAAUGCUUCCCAGAUUUCCUUUGCAGAAGUUGUGUUUAUGUAUAAGUCAUAUAAACGGUCCGACAAAGCAUUUAGUAUGUGACCACGGCAUAUCAAUUCAUCUUCUUGUCGUUUCUGUCUUUUAGCCUUGACUGCCUCAGUUUCUCCAUUUGUAGGUUUCGGUAGUGGAGCCAAUUCUGGAUCCAAAAUAUGGAAGAUCUUCAAUGUAGUAAGUAGAAAUUUCAACUUUUCUUGCACCUCGUGAAGUUUGUACCAUCCAACCGAUUUAACCGCACCAAGUCUUGAUUCAUUUGAUUGUUGCCAUUGUAGUCUUGUUCUCCAUUGCAAGAAAAUAACGUUUAAGAUUGUUGGAAAUAAUUGAGAGAUGGAGAAGAAAUAAAAGAGAAAAUACAAGAAAAUAUGGCAACAAGAUGGAUCAAAACAAAAUUUAUAUCUACAAAUGUGAAGGCUCGAACGCAGGAUCACUGUUCUCAAACAUUAUUUGCCCCUUCUCCGAUGUAUUUGAGAUGCUAAAAGGCAUUUCGACAAAUGGUUUGAAGGAUUUUAACAAGCCUUUUAAAGAAUUUCACCAAAGCACGAGAUGAAAUUCUCCAAAACUUGAAGAACACAAGGAUAUGAAUAUAAAUCGGGAUUUAAUUUUUCUUGGAACAAAGUAUGGAUUGUAAGAUGUUUUUCUUACUUCUUUCCCUCAAACAUCGCUUUCCAAUAAAUAACCAUCGACUAGAAGUACGAAAUGGUGCAAAAAAUUCAAGUGAAAAGUCACCAAGUUCAAAUUUGCUACGGCCAAAAAGGGUCAAAAAGUAUGUAUCAUACGACCACAUGGUCCAAACCCAUGCGGUCUCACGGUUCACCCAUGCCGAGACCAUUUGGUCUCGGCCUAAGGCCAAGCAACCUCAUGGCUAUAUGCCAUGCAGUCGCAUGGACCCCCCUCCCUUUUUUUUAUUGUCGGUUUUGAACAACAUAAUCACAGCAAAUCUACCAACUUUUUUUUUUCCCUUUAUUUUAGACUAACAUUAUGCUCAGCACUAGGUCGUCUGAGAUUUCUACUUAAAGAGCUGUAUUGAAUUCCCAUAUAAUUGACAUCAACUCUCAUUGAAGAGCAGCGGCAGUGCGCCUGCUACUGUUUUCUGGCUCUGCAUUUUGCUCGUUGCUCCAUCUUUCACUAAUGAUCUCACAAUUUUCUAGCAGUUGUAGUUCGUGCAAACGAACGAGGAACUAUGCUUUCUAUUGCUUGCAGAUCACAAAUCUACAAACACGGCACUUCCCUUGGCUCUUCACCCAUGGCACUAUGCAGUCCUCAUGAAACAUAUGAUUGCACGGAGUAAGCAUCACAAACUGUUUGGAGUCAAAAUCAUCCAAGCAAAUGGCACACCUUAUACCUUCAGCGUCCUGAAAAUUUCCAGAUUAGUUUGUGUCAUCGGUUAUAUUCUUCCUUUCCCAUUCGUCUGACUAUAUUACUCAGAUGUGGAUCAAAUAUCAUUACUUCUCUCAGCUUACUCAACCACUUUUCUUGCUCUUCCUUUGUAAAUCUUAACUCCG